rnacentral:rRNA from 1 species
UUUAUGGAGAGUUUGAUCCUGGCUCAGAGUGAACGCUGGCGGCGUGCCUAAUACAUGCAAGUCGAACGAUGAAGCUUCUAGCUUGCUAGAGUGCUGAUUAGUGGCGCACGGGUGAGUAACGCAUAGGUCAUGUGCCUCUUAGUUUGGGAUAGCCAUUGGAAACGAUGAUUAAUACCAGAUACUCCCUACGGGGGAAAGAUUUAUCGCUAAGAGAUCAGCCUAUGUCCUAUCAGCUUGUUGGUAAGGUAAUGGCUUACCAAGGCUAUGACGGGUAUCCGGCCUGAGAGGGUGAACGGACACACUGGAACUGAGACACGGUCCAGACUCCUACGGGAGGCAGCAGUAGGGAAUAUUGCUCAAUGGGGGAAACCCUGAAGCAGCAACGCCGCGUGGAGGAUGAAGGUUUUAGGAUUGUAAACUCCUUUUGUUAGAGAAGAUAAUGACGGUAUCUAACGAAUAAGCACCGGCUAACUCCGUGCCAGCAGCCGCGGUAAUACGGAGGGUGCAAGCGUUACUCGGAAUCACUGGGCGUAAAGAGCGCGUAGGCGGGAUAGUCAGUCAGGUGUGAAAUCCUAUGGCUUAACCAUAGAACUGCAUUUGAAACUACUAUUCUAGAGUGUGGGAGAGGUAGGUGGAAUUCUUGGUGUAGGGGUAAAAUCCGUAGAGAUCAAGAGGAAUACUCAUUGCGAAGGCGACCUGCUGGAACAUUACUGACGCUGAUUGCGCGAAAGCGUGGGGAGCAAACAGGAUUAGAUACCCUGGUAGUCCACGCCCUAAACGAUGGAUGCUAGUUGUUGGAGGGCUUAGUCUCUCCAGUAAUGCAGCUAACGCAUUAAGCAUCCCGCCUGGGGAGUACGGUCGCAAGAUUAAAACUCAAAGGAAUAGACGGGGACCCGCACAAGCGGUGGAGCAUGUGGUUUAAUUCGAAGAUACACGAAGAACCUUACCUAGGCUUGACAUUGAGAGAAUCCGCUAGAAAUAGUGGAGUGUCUGGCUUGCUAGACCUUGAAAACAGGUGCUGCACGGCUGUCGUCAGCUCGUGUCGUGAGAUGUUGGGUUAAGUCCCGCAACGAGCGCAACCCCCUUUCUUAGUUGCUAACAGGUCAUGCUGAGAACUCUAAGGAUACUGCCUCCGUAAGGAGGAGGAAGGUGGGGACGACGUCAAGUCAUCAUGGCCCUUACGCCUAGGGCUACACACGUGCUACAAUGGGGUGCACAAAGAGAAGCAAUACUGCGAAGUGGAGCCAAUCUUCAAAACACCUCUCAGUUCGGAUUGUAGGCUGCAACUCGCCUGCAUGAAGCUGGAAUCGCUAGUAAUCGCAAAUCAGCCAUGUUGCGGUGAAUACGUUCCCGGGUCUUGUACUCACCGCCCGUCACACCAUGGGAGUUGUGUUUGCCUUAAGUCAGGAUGCUAAAUUGGCUACUGCCCACGGCACACACAGCGACUGGGGUGAAGUCGUAACAAGGUAACCGUAGGUGAACCUGCGGUUGGAUCACCUCCUUUCUA